UCAGUUCAGAUUGUAGGCUGCAACUCGCCUACAUGAAGUCGGGAAUUGCUAGUAAUCGCGGAUCAGCAUGCCGCGGUGAAUACGUUCCCGGGCCUUGUACACACCGCCCGUCACACCAUGAGAGCCGGUAACACCCGAAGUCAGUAGCCUAACCGCAAGGGGGGCGCUGCCGAAGGUGGGAUUGGUAAUUGGGGUGAAGUCGUAACAAGGUACC
rnacentral:rRNA from 1 species